UACGUAGGGGGGCGAGCGUUUGUCCGGAAUCAUUGGGCGUAAAGCGCGUGUAGGCGGCCCGGUAAGUCCGCUGUGAAAGUCCAGGGCUCAACCCUGGGAUGCCGGUGGAUACUGUCGGGCUCGAGUCCGGAAGAGGCGAGUGGAAUUCCUGGUGUAGCGGUGAAAUGCGCAGAUAUCGGGAGGAACACCGGUGGCGAAGGCGGUUCUCUGGGCCUGUACUGACGCUGAGGCGCGAAAGCUAGGGGAGCAAACAGG
rnacentral:rRNA from 1 species